rnacentral:rRNA from 1 species
UUUAAAGUCUAACCUGCCCAAUGAAAAUUUUAAUGGCCGCAGUAUUUUGACUGUGCAAAGGUAGCAUAAUCAAUAGUUUCUUAAUUAGAAGCUGGAAUGAAAGGUUUGAUGAAAAAAAAGCUGUCUCAUUUUUAAUGUUUUAAAAUUUUAUUUUUAAGUUAAAAAGCUUAAAUAGAUUAAAAAGACGAGAAGACCCUAUAGAGUUUUAUAAAUAUUUGUUUUAAUUAUUUAAAGAUAUAAUUUUUAAAAAAAAUAAAUUUUUAUUUUAUUGGGGUGAUAUAAAAAUUAAAAUAACUUUUUAUUUAUUUUAACAUUUAUAAAUGAAUUCAAUGAUCCUAUUUUUAGAUUAUAAGAAAAAAUUACCUUAGGGAUAACAGCGUUAUUUUUUUUUAGAGUUCAAAUUAAAAAAAAAGUUUGCGACCUCGAUGUUGGAUUAAAAUUAAAUUUAGGUGUAGAAGCUUGAAAUUUAGGUCUGUUCGACCUUUAAAAUUUUACA